rnacentral:rRNA from 1 species
GACGAACGCUGGCGGCGUGCUUAACACAUGCAAGUCGAACGGAAAGGCCCUGCUUUUGUGGGGUGCUCGAGUGGCGAACGGGUGAGUAACACGUGAGUAACCUGCCCUUGACUUUGGGAUAACUUCAGGAAACUGGGGCUAAUACCGGAUAGGAGCUCCUGCUGCAUGGUGGGGGUUGGAAAGUUUCGGCGGUUGGGGAUGGACUCGCGGCUUAUCAGCUUGUUGGUUGGGUAGUGGCUUACCAAGGCUUUGACGGGUAGCCGGCCUGAGAGGGUGACCGGCGACAAUGGGACUGAGAGACGGCCCAGACUCCAACGGGAGGCAGCAGUGGGGAAUAUUGCACAAUGGGCGGAAGCCUGAGGCAGAAACGCCGCGUGCGGGAUGACGGCCUGCGGGUUGUAAACCGCUUUCGCCUGUGACGAAGCGUGAGUGACGGUAAUGGGUAAAGAAGCACCGGCUAACUACGUG